CAGUCGAGCGAGUGAAUCUCCUUCGGGAGUGAAGCUAGCGGCGGACGGGUGAGUAACACGUGGGCAACCUGCCUCAUAGAGGGGAAUAGCCUUCCGAAAGGAAGAUUAAUACCGCAUAAGAUUGUAGCUUCGCAUGAAGUAGCAAUUAAAGGAGCAAUCCGCUAUGAGAUGGGCCCGCGGCGCAUUAGCUAGUUGGUGAGGUAACGGCUCACCAAGGCGACGAUGCGUAGCCGACCUGAGAGGGUGAUCGGCCACAUUGGGACUGAGACACGGCCCAGACUCCUACGGGAGGCAGCAGUGGGGAAUAUUGCACAAUGGGGGAAACCCUGAUGCAGCAACGCCGCGUGAGUGAUGACGGCCUUCGGGUUGUAAAGCUCUGUCUUCAGGGACGAUAAUGACGGUACCUGAGGAGGAAGCCACGGCUAACUACGUGCCAGCAGCCGCGGUAAUACGUAGGUGGCGAGCGUUGCCCGGAUUUACUGGGCGUAAAGGGAGCGUAGGCGGACU
rnacentral:rRNA from 1 species